CUGAGUCCUGGGCUUGUUUUAAGUUGCCUGUGAUUGUUGGAUAGAGCACAGGCAGCUAAAGCAAGUCUGGGAAGCUG
rfam:Xenopus laevis strain J chromosome 9_10L, whole genome shotgun sequence.